GAUGAACGCUAGCUACAGGCUUAACACAUGCAAGUCGAGGGGCAGCAUGACCUAGCAAUAGGUUGAUGGCGACCGGCGCACGGGUGAGUAACACGUAUCCAACCUGCCGAUUAUUCCGGGAUAGCCUUUCGAAAGAAAGAUUAAUACUGGAUGGCAUAACGAGAAGGCAUCUUCUUGUUAUUAAAGAAUUUCGAUAAUCGAUGGGGAUGCGUUCCAUUAGUUUGUUGGCGGGGUAACGGCCCACCAAGACAUCGAUGGAUAGGGGUUCUGAGAGGAAGGUCCCCCACAUUGGAACUGAGACACGGUCCAAACUCCUACGGGAGGCAGCAGUGAGGAAUAUUGGUCAAUGGACGAGAGUCUGAACCAGCCAAGUAGCGUGAAGGAUGACUGCCCUAUGGGUUGUAAACUUCUUUUAUAUGGGAAUAAAGUGGGCCACGUGUGGCUUUUUGUAUGUACCAUACGAAUAAGGAUCGGCUAACUCCGUG
rnacentral:rRNA from 1 species